rnacentral:rRNA from 1 species
ACGGAGGGUGCGAGCGUUGUCCGGAAUCACUGGGCGUAAAGGGCGCGUAGGCGGCCCGGCAAGUCGAUGGUGAAAGCUCGUGGCUCAACUGCGAGUCGGCCAUUGAUACUGCGGGGCUCGAGUCGACUAGAGGCUAAUGGAAUUCCGGGUGUAGCGGUGGAAUGCGUAGAGAUCCGGAAGAACACCGGAGGCGAAGGCGGUUAGCUGGGGUCGAACUGACGCUGAGGCGCGACAGCGUGGGGAGCAAACAGGA